UGUUAAGAUGGUUAAACUAUAAAGUUUAUAUUUUUGACCUUUCACUUUAAUUUUCUAGAGUAUGCAAAGACACGUGUUGAGGUGAUCCACCAUCACAAUGGUAAACGUGGGAGCGGAUCUGACAGCAGCAACGAAAAAAGUGGUUCUAGCGGAAGCGGAUCUAGAGGGAGCAGGGAGAAGAAAAGGUACAGAAGAUCCACGGAGAGCCUCGAGAACACAAGUAGCCUGGAGGACUGAUCAAAAUAUUCUACAUCUGAUUAUGUGCAAUUAAAAGUGUUAAUAAAGGAAUUUAUCUCAA